CAUUGUCUGACAACACUCUUCAGGAUGCUGCGAGUCGCUGUCGUGCUGUGCGUGGUGGCCUGCUCCUUGGGCUCCAUGGUCCCCGAGGCCAUGAUAAAGAAGUACUCUUACAUGAAGGCCCUGAAAGGCUGCGUGGGCGAGGAGACCGUCAAGACAUGAUAACAUGAAG